rnacentral:lncRNA from 1 species
UGUAGAUUCAGGUACAGGACCACUAAUUGACAAUAUUGUUUAAAAAUGUAAAGAUAAAAAAAAAAACCAUGUUGUUACAAUUUUAAACUGGUAUCAAUAUCACAAACUGUGGUCAGAAACAGAUAUAGCAAAUGGUACUUCUCUAUGCAUACAUUCACUAUGAGGAUCAACAUCCCUCAUUUGGGAAUCUGCUUUCUCUUGCAUCUCCAAUGCAAGCUCUAACAUUAGCUCUACUUCACCCAUCUCAGGCCGUGUAUCUCCGUUCUCACUGAUACAGGAAUAAGCGAUAUCCACGAAUAUUUUCAAACACUCUGGAGCUAUCUUCCUCUUCAGAUGUGGGUCGAUUAUAUUAUAAAUGGUUCCUUUGUCUAUACACUGACAGACCCAACCAAGUAGAUAUUGUUCAUUCUCAUCCAAUAUUGGAUCAACCACCUUUCUACCACACAAAACUUCAAAUAAAACAACUCCAAAUGAGUACACAUCACUUUUUUCUGAAACUCCAUAACCUUUGAGACACUCAGGAUCCACAUAACCCUUAGUACCCGCCAAUGGUGAAUUAAUUUUUUUCAAAACUUUUGACGUGUUAGAGUAUGAAGGUUGUGGACGCAUCUUGGAGAACGUGAAACUAGAAAGCUUACUAACCCAUUUGUCAUCCAAAAGAAUAUUGCUGCUAUUGACGUCACGGUGAAUUACGGCAUGCUUUGCUCCGGUAUGAAGGUAAUGUAAUCCACGAGCUGCACCAAUACAUAUCUCUAGCCUCUGCUUCCAUGGCAGUGGAUCAUAAUUAGAACCAUAGAGAUGAUCACGGAGUGACCUGUUUUUCAUGAGUUCGUAUACAAGGAUCAACUCAUCCUUAUCAUUGCAGAACCCCAUAAGAGACACGAGAUGUUGGUGGCGCAGCUGGCAGAGCAAUUGCACUUCGGUUCGGAACUCACUGAGUGCAUCUCCUACUGAAUCUGGAAAGAAGCGUUUCACAGCAAUAAAGUUUCCAUCAUCAACAAUCCCUUUGAACACGCUUCCAAAAAAACCUUGAGCAAUAAGAGAUUUUGGAUGAAAAUUGCUGGUAGCAGCUUUGAUCUCGGUUAGAGAAAAUUGACGCUGACGGAUUUCCUCAGGAAGAGCUGCUGGAUAUCUUUUCCUAGCAUGCUUUUCAUUUCCCUUACUUACUGUUCCAUUGCCUGCUGUUUUGGUAAAGACUUUGAAGCACCUUGGAAGAAAAUGUGAAGGGUUUCCCAUGGGGGGAAGAAGUGAAGGAGAAAUGAGCAAGUCCGGAUCUGGAUUGAUAUUUGUGGUGUUAUCUCAUCAAGGAGAAGUCUUGCUUGACUUUGCUUUUGUCAUUCACGUACUUAAACCAUAGUUAAAGACUUUGGCUUCAAGAUCAUCACCGUCAAGAAAUCUAAACUUAAAAUGUCAAAAAACCCCCAUCGUAGAAGACAUGGAAUGACCCUAAUUUAAGUAUACAUUUCCAUACUUAGGCUCUUAGGCCUUUCUCUGUUCUCCAGCCGCCCGUCUUUCCUGGGAGCAGGUUAAGCCUUUUGUAAUUGUACAGGAACUUUACCACUUAUGCUUGAGUUUUAUGUCAAUAAAGUCUUUGACAUCAUAGUCUAAGACUUUGGUUGGGCAUGCUUGCUUUGGUUCGAAUAAAUAACAACCACUUUUUACAAAAUAAAAAAACGUAUACAUUUUCAUGGUCCAAUUAAAUAUAUAAUUUACACAUAAAAAAAUAUGGUAUGAUUCUGUUUAAACAUGAAAUUUCACAUAGUAAUAUUCACCAUUGAUCUUUCUUAAGACUCACGUCAAAACAUGAAUUUUAUUCAUAGUGUUCUACAUUUAUAAAAAUACAAAAAUCGAGUACUUAAUAAGUAUUAUUAGAAAAAUUGUUAAUGUAAUUUUUAUUUUGAAUUAAAUAAAUAUGAUAUUGUGAAUAACGAAUUUUCAAAAUUAUUUUUUAUUGUGUAAUCUAAAUUAAAGUAGUAUUAAUAAAUUUGAUGGUCUACAUGUAAAACAUUGCUUGAUUAUUCCGGAGUUGGAUUUUUAACAGCCUGACUCGGUUUUGGAUUUUGGCAGCACGUGUUUGGUGAAGCCAAAUUUACAAUUGCCACUAAUUUACAAUACUAUUUAAAAACGUAAAGAUUAAAAAAAAAAACUAUUUCGUUACAAUUUUAAACUGGUAUGAAUAUCACAAACUGUGAUCAGAAACAGGUAUAGAAAAUGAUACUUCUCUAUACAUACAUUCAUUAUGAGGAUCAACAUCCCUCAUUUGGGAAUCUAUUUUUUCUUGCAUCUCCAAUGCAAGCUCUAACAUGAGCUCCACUUCACCCAUCUCAGGCCGUGUAUCUCCCUUCUCACUGAUACAGCAAUAAGCGAUAUCCACGAAUAUUUUGAAACACUCUGGAGCUAUCUUCCUCUUCAGAUGUGGGUCGAUUAUAUCAUACAUGGUUCCUUUGCCUAUACACUGACGGACCCAAUCAGGUAGAUGUAUUUCAGACUGGUUUAAUGUUGGAUCAACCACC